ensembl:lncRNA
AGCGCGGGGGGGUUAGGGUCGCCCCGCCCCGCCCCCGCGGGAAGGUGGCGGCGGCCGCGCACCUGCGGCGGUGACGGACGGACGGACGGACGGACAGACGCGGGGCGGGAGCGCCGGCAGAAGCGGCCCGACGGGGCGCCCCCCUCACCUCUGCCGCGCACCGGCAAGGGGCGGACAACAGCCGCCCCGUGUGGAGAGGGGUGGCUGACAAACUUUAGGAGAGUCACCCCCGCGUGGGCGGGGGCUGCUCUGCGGUGCCCCAUGCGGUAAAGUUUUCCACGCGAGAAGGUUUCCGCAGAGCAGUGUCGGAGCCCCAGGGUGCGCCUCUUUCUCGCGUAAAGCAUCGGGCGGUGGAGCAAACCCGCGUUUGCGGACGCUGUCGCCCCACGCGGGUCACAAACUUUAGGAGGCACGGUCCCGCGGCCGCCCAGCCCGCCGCACGGCGUCCCUCGCCCCGCUCAGUGGCACCGGCUCCGCCGCGCGUCGCGGGGCUGUCAGCAGGAGCCGCGCGGGCAUUUUCCACGUGGGAGGCAGGAAAUAAACAUGAAAUCGAGCAUCAGGUUGCGGCGCGUGGAACAACCGGUGGUACUGAGACACGGGUCUUCGGUGCUGCCGGCCCCGGGCCCCUGCGCAGCACGACCCGAGUUUAGGUCAACUUAACCCUGUCCCAUCCCGCUCCCGACCGGCUCGUAGUGGGGGAAAAAAAAAAAAAAAAAAAAAAAAAAGAUUAAAGAAACCUACAAAAGUGGAUCGCGGCAGGUCUGGGCUGCUAUCCGGACCGAAACCUGUCGGGCGCGCUCUGUCCCGCCUGACCGCGGCUUUCCGCGGCUCGGGACAGGGAGCAUCCGCACCCCUGCCCCGGCUGCUGAGAUUUUCCCGGCCGCUGCCGGCGAGGACGCGAGGCUGAACGAGGGGAAACAGCCUCAGGCUUGCGGACAGCGGGGGAUACACCAGGGAGAGGGAAUAACGUCCUGCGGAGGCCCGGGCAGCAGCGGAGCGCUGCAGGGCGCUCGGCGACAGAGACACCAGGAAGGGUUAGUGCUGCAGGAGACCACAGUGUUGUCUCUGUCCACAGAUCACCAUUUUACUGUCACUUUACUGCACCUGUUUGAGGCCCCUACUUCGGAUCAACUCAUUAUCCCGAAUAAACGAUGUGUCAUUCCCAUUAUUUAUGUUUCACUGCAGCCAAAGUAUCUGGACCUCGUUUUGGACAAAACACAUCCAAGGGUUCGCAAGGUGGGGGAGAGGCAGUGGGAGCGCAUUAAGCGCGAGCCGCCAGCCGAGCCGUCACUGCGCGGCUCACGGAACAUCCAUCCUGCCCUGGCUCGGGGGGGCCGUGGGAGACAGCAGCUUCACCAUCCUCACAAGAGAGAGGUUUAUGGCUGGGGUGCUUUUUUUAUUUUAUUUUAUUUUAUUUUAUUUUAUUUUAUUUUAUUUUAUUUUAUUUUAAAAUUUAUUACUAUUUUUCCCCCCCCGAGCUUCAGUUUCCAACGACUUAUUUAGAUGUAAGCAAUGACAGCUGUAAUCAUGUUUUAAAUCUUGCUUUGUAUCCUUAGUUAUAAUGUUGUUCAAUUAAUAUUCAGAAUAAUGGAAGUGAUGUGCCCCUUUGAAAAAGACUUGAAUGCAGGCCAAAGCUUUGGGAAACUGAUUCUCAAGAGGAUUAAUCAGCAUUUAAAACUUGCAUUAAUAAAAAUCUGAUCUUCUACUGUGUAGCA